rnacentral:misc_RNA from 1 species
GAUGUCACGCGCACAUGUACAUUAUGUAUGCACCGUUGGCCAGAAUCAUCAUCGCUCUUGCGACGUUUCCCGUCUGGCCCGCUGCGACACCAGCACGCACGCGGACUGGAAUGGUGAGCCACCUCCAACGAAGAAAUAAAAGCAAGGGAGGGAGGGAAUAGGGGGUGGGUCGAGCGUCUCGAGGCGGGUCGGGGUUUCGGAGAGGGGGGCGGGCGGGCGUUGUCCUCCUCCUCUGCCACCUCUCUCCGUCCUCGCGAUCGGCGCUGCCUCUCCCAGCGAGCUGCCUGUUCGCCUCUCUCCAUCUCGUUUUCUGGCAUAUGUUCCUCCCGCCCGCCCGCCCGCCCCUCCACCAGACGUAGCCUCGGUACACACACACCUCAUCUCUCUAUUUCCGCUGUAUUCACGGGAUGCUUUAUGCCGCCAUGUCGCACACGCCUUCUGCCGCACGUUCCGUGCACGCGUCAUCAACGGACUGUGCGGUGCAUCGCUCACCCUCUCCACAG